rnacentral:rRNA from 1 species
GGUUAAGCGACUAAGCGUACACGGUGGAUGCCCUGGCAGUCAGAGGCGAUGAAGGACGUGCUAAUCUGCGAUAAGCGCCGGUAAGGUGAUAUGAACCGUUAUAACCGGCGAUUUCCGAAUGGGGAAACCCAGUGUGACUCGUCACACUAUCAUUAACUGAAUCCAUAGGUUAAUGAGGCGAACCGGGGGAACUGAAACAUCUAAGUACCCCGAGGAAAAGAAAUCAACCGAGAUUCCCCCAGUAGCGGCGAGCGAACGGGGAGGAGCCCAGAGCCUGAAUCAGCAUGUGUGUUAGUGGAAGCGUCUGGAAAGGCGCGCGAUACAGGGUGACAGCCCCGUACACAAAAGCGCAUGUGCUGUGAGCUCGAUGAGUAGGGCGGGACACGUGGUAUCCUGUCUGAAUAUGGGGGGACCAUCCUCCAAGGCUAAAUACUCCUGACUGACCGAUAGUGAACCAGUACCGUGAGGGAAAGGCGAAAAGAACCCCGGCGAGGGGAGUGAAAAAGAACCUGAAACCGUGUACGUACAAGCAGUGGGAGCCCCACCACUAAGCCAGUGGUGAACUCCACAUACGCAUCCUUUGCUGAGGAUACGGUUAACGGAGCGAAAGCGACGUUCAACCUCAAAAGAAGCAGAGGGGGCUUAGUGGUGGGGUGACUGCGUACCUUUUGUAUAAUGGGUCAGCGACUUAUAUUCUGUAGCAAGGUUAACCGAAUAGGGGAGCCGGAGGGAAACCGAGUCUUAAUUGGGCGUUAAGUUGCAGGGUAUAGACCCGAAACCCGGUGAUCUAGCCAUGGGCAGGUUGAAGGUUGGGUAACACUAACUGGAGGACCGAACCGACUAAUGUUGAAAAAUUAGCGGAUGACCUGUGGCUGGGGGUGAAAGGCCAAUCAAACCGGGAGAUAGCUGGUUCUCCCCGAAAGCUAUUUAGGUAGCGCCUCGUGAAUUCAUCUCCGGGGGUAGAGCACUGUUUCGGCUAGGGGGCCAUCCCGGCUUACCAACCCGAUGCAAACUGCGAAUACCGGAGAAUGUUAUCACGGGAGACACACGGCGGGUGCUAACGUCCGUCGUGAAGAGGGAAACAACCCAGACCGCCAGCUAAGGUCCCAAAGUCAUGGUUAAGUGGGAAACGAUGUGGGAAGGCCCAGACAGCCAGGAUGUUGGCUUAGAAGCAGCCAUCAUUUAAAGAAAGCGUAAUAGCUCACUGGUCGAGUCGGCCUGCGCGGAAGAUGUAACGGGGCUAAAGCAUGCACCGAAGCUGCGGCAGCGACACUAUGUGUUGUUGGGUAGGGGAGCGUUCUGUAAGCCUGCGAAGGUGGCCUGUGAGGGUUGCUGGAGGUAUCAGAAGUGCGAAUGCUGACAUAAGUAACGAUAAAGCGGGUGAAAAGCCCGCUCGCCGGAAGACCAAGGGUUCCUGUCCAACGUUAAUCGGGGCAGGGUGAGUCGACCCCUAAGGCGAGGCCGAAAGGCGUAGUCGAUGGGAAACGGGUUAAUAUUCCCGUACUUGGUGUUACUGCGAAGGGGGGACGGAGAAGGCUAUGUUGGCCGGGCGACGGUUGUCCCGGUUUAAGCGUGUAGGUGUGUGUUCCAGGUAAAUCCGGUUCACUUUAACACUGAGGCGUGAUGACGAGGCACUACGGUGCUGAAGCAACAAAUGCCCUGCUUCCAGGAAAAGCCUCUAAGCAUCAGGUAACAUCAAAUCGUACCCCAAACCGACACAGGUGGUCAGGUAGAGAAUACCAAGGCGCUUGAGAGAACUCGGGUGAAGGAACUAGGCAAAAUGGUGCCGUAACUUCGGGAGAAGGCACGCUGACACGUAGGUGAAGUGAUUUACUCAUGGAGCUGAAGUCAGUCGAAGAUACCAGCUGGCUGCAACUGUUUAUUAAAAACACAGCACUGUGCAAACACGAAAGUGGACGUAUACGGUGUGACGCCUGCCCGGUGCCGGAAGGUUAAUUGAUGGGGUCAGCGCAAGCGAAGCUCCUGAUCGAAGCCCCGGUAAACGGCGGCCGUAACUAUAACGGUCCUAAGGUAGCGAAAUUCCUUGUCGGGUAAGUUCCGACCUGCACGAAUGGCGUAAUGAUGGCCAGGCUGUCUCCACCCGAGACUCAGUGAAAUUGAACUCGCUGUGAAGAUGCAGUGUACCCGCGGCAAGACGGAAAGACCCCGUGAACCUUUACUAUAGCUUGACACUGAACAUUGAGCCUUGAUGUGUAGGAUAGGUGGGAGGCUUUGAAGUGUGGACGCCAGUCUGCAUGGAGCCGGCCUUGAAAUACCACCCUUUAAUGUUUGAUGUUCUAACGUGGACCCGUGAUCCGGGUUGCGGACAGUGUCUGGUGGGUAGUUUGACUGGGGCGGUCUCCUCCUAAAGAGUAACGGAGGAGCACGAAGGUUGGCUAAUCCUGGUCGGACAUCAGGAGGUUAGUGCAAUGGCAUAAGCCAGCUUGACUGCGAGCGUGACGGCGCGAGCAGGUGCGAAAGCAGGUCAUAGUGAUCCGGUGGUUCUGAAUGGAAGGGCCAUCGCUCAACGGAUAAAAGGUACUCCGGGGAUAACAGGCUGAUACCGCCCAAGAGUUCAUAUCGACGGCGGUGUUUGGCACCUCGAUGUCGGCUCAUCACAUCCUGGGGCUGAAGUAGGUCCCAAGGGUAUGGCUGUUCGCCAUUUAAAGUGGUACGCGAGCUGGGUUUAGAACGUCGUGAGACAGUUCGGUCCCUAUCUGCCGUGGGCGCUGGAGAACUGAGGGGGGCUGCUCCUAGUACGAGAGGACCGGAGUGGACGCAUCACUGGUGUUCGGGUUGUCAUGCCAAUGGCACUGCCCGGUAGCUAAAUGCGGAAGAGAUAAGUGCUGAAAGCAUCUAAGCACGAAACUUGCCCCGAGAUGAGUUCUCCCUGAGACUUAGAGUCUCCUGAAGGAACGUUGAAGACGACGACGUUGAUAGGCCGGGUGUGUAAGCGCAGCGAUGCGUUGAGCUAACCGGUACUAAUGAACCGUGAGGCUUAACCUU